rnacentral:pre_miRNA from 1 species
CGUGCACCAGUGGGGUCCCUUGGCCUGGCCUGUGCCCUCUCACAACCUAGAACCCCUUGGGGGAUGUCAGAGAGCCGGUUUUGGCCCGAUCCUGCAGGCCAGGCCAAGGGACCCCACUGGUGCACG